CGGCGGCGCCGGGGGUGCCAGCCGCCUCCUCUGGCCGCCGGCCCGUCGGCCCUGCAAAGUUUAAAGCCAAUUCCCUUUGCGUCCUGGGAGCCGAGCGUUUUCUCUCUCUGCUGACACUCCCAGCAGCCCUGCCUGGCCAGGCCAGGCUGGAGAGCACCCGGACCAUUUUCCAGACGGUGAGAUGGAGGCCUGGAAACCGAGCUUAUGAGCAGCCCGGAGCUUUCCAUUGCCUGCUCAGCCUUCCAGAUACAUCCCAGUUCCAGUUCUCUCCAGGCCCCUCUGGGAUCCAGCCAGCCUGCUUCCCCGCCAGGGCCCCGCUGCUUCCAAAAUGGGCCUGUGCAGCGUCAUUCAGGAAGCCCGUGGUACUCACAUCACUUUGGCCAGAUGCUAACAAGAAAAUGAUCCACUGUGACGCAGCUGACCCCAUCCAGUGCAUCCACAUUACCUGGAAGGAAGCAAUUAUGCCCCUUUGGUUUCCUUGGAAAUGCUCGGUCUGUCUGUACCAUCCUCCCUGGCUCUUGAGAAAUACCCAUGCACAGUGGAGCUUUGACAGGGAAGCAGUGCGUUUACUUUCAAACUGAAAGUUUACAGAAUACAAAGUGAGCCUAUAAGAUGGAUGGCCAUUCUCCAGAGGCUUGUUGGCCAGACAGGAAGGAAAACCAGUGCACCAUCAGGAAUGUGGAGGAGACUGAAAGAGAGGGACAAACAUAUUGGAUUGCAUUGGGCCCCCACAGUCAAGUUCCUGCAAACCCAGCUGGGAUAUUUUCCUGACUAAGGGUUAUGGUCUUGGGCCUCAAAGCUCCCCAGUCAAAGCCCAGCCUCUGUGCCAGGGAGCACACAAGAGGACAGAGACAGCGUCUGUGUCAGGAGGAGGGAAGAAGGACUAAUGUCUGCGGACCCUCCGAGGCUCACAGGGAGAAGCCACACACUCACAGCACCAGGUCUGUGGUUUUUCAUGACCCCACACUGUCCCCUAGAAGGAAGUACCACCCAGCAGAAACAGAAGCCAAGGAAUUUCCCCACAGAGAUCAUGGCAUGGGCUUGAGCUCAAUGGACAGUGGGCGGAAAUUGGAAAGCCCAGAGCCUCCACCACUAAGUCCUGUGUGACUUCUGUAAGUCCC
rnacentral:lncRNA from 1 species